CAGUCGCCGCGGUAAUACCGGGGAUGCAAGCGUUAUCCGGAAUGAUUGGGCGUAAAGGGCUCGCAGGCGGUUUCUUAAGUCUGAUGUGAAGGCCCCCGGCUCAACCGGGGAGGGUCAUUGGAAACUGGGAAACUUGAGUGCAGAAGAGGAGAGUGGAAUUCCACGUGUAGCGGUGAAAUGCGUAGAGAUGUGGAGGAACACCAGUGGCGAAGGCGACUCUCUGGUCUGUAACUGACGCUGAGGAGCGAAAGCGUGGGGAGCGAACAGGAUUAGAGACCCCAGUAGUCCCUGUCUCUUAUAC
rnacentral:rRNA from 1 species